AUGUCUCUGGUUUGGGUGGCGUACCACGUGACCGAGAUAAUCACGCCAAUCGCCCUCGGCAAGGUGUUUCUCGACACCGCGACCGCGGUUAGCGAGGAGCUGAUGUUUGCGUUCUGGGCGCCGUUUCUCCUGCUGCACCUUGGUCGCCCGGACAACAUCACCAGCUACGCCUUGGAGCACCAGGAGCUGUCCAUGACCCAAAAGCCUGCUCUCGUCCUUAAAAUCGGAGGAGCUAUCUAUGGCUCAUACAAGCAAAGAUUUAUGCGCGGCGACGCGGCUCUACGAGCCGCCUUCUUCAUCAUGCUCUUCUUGGGCUCCUAUAAGAGAAUGAAGUUACGGCGCUUCACAUUUGAGGACGAAGGCCGUAAGUGGGAUAAUGAUGAUGCCCUGCUUGAUGCUCACGGCCUUGUCGGUGUCACCAUGGAUGCCUUCGCUGACUAUCAAGUCCACCGCAGGAGGUAUGUCCCAUCUUAUUCUGGCUGGAAGGGUGUGAGCGAGGUGGUUGAGAUGGAGGCGUCGCUCAUGUACGACAUGUUGUACACCAAGGCAAGUGUGAUCCGCACUUGGGCCGGCUACAUCAUCCGUGUCCUCUCACCGCCGGCAACUGCCACGGCGCUCUAUCUCUUUCACAGUAAGGAGGGCCAGGCCAUGGAGAGUGCAGAUCGGACGGUCACAUACACCUUGCUUAUUGGUACCCUAGUGUUGGAUGUGAGAUGGCUGCUGAGAGCACUAGGGUCCACCUGGACAUAUGCGUUCUUGGUAGAGCAAGGGGAAGGAAAAGAAUGGCUGCUUCCGGUUCGACGGACCUUCCCGGACAAUUUGCCUCGUCAAGCUGCAAUGCAAUCAUGGUAUUGCGUCCGUCGCCUCCCCGUCUCUCUGGAUACGUCCCGUCUCUCACUGAGGAGCGGCCCAAGUGGCCAUAGGUUGUUGUCCGGCAUGGGGCAACACAACUUGUUGCACGAGUGUUGUACAUGUACUCCUCGCCCUCGGGGCCAACUGGAGAAGCUGAUCUCUUCCUUGUUCACUGGACUUGGGAAGAAGAAGACCGAUGUCAAGGAUGAGCUGUUGGAAGCUGUGUGUACACAGGUACUGCUGGAAUCUCGCACACUCGUCGGGAUGCGUCCCAUAAGGGAACUCGAUGAUUAUAUGAGGUCUAAUGCCAGUAACUACAGUUUUGAAAGCAACCUCAUCGCGUUGCACGUCGCCACGGACAUUUUCCUCUUGUGCAAGCCGACUUCGAUAAAGAGUGAAGCAUCAGCCAAAUAUGAGAAGCAGAUACGAGCGAUAUCAGAUUACAUGAUGUUCCUCCUGGCUGAACGCCCGCACAUGGUAUUAAAACAGGGUGACGAGGGUAUCCACUACAAAAAGGUCUGCCUUGAUUUGGAGGAUAUAUGGAGUGAAAGAGGAACCAGCAGUUCUCCAACAAUAAGAGAGACCAAGAAGCUUGCCAACAUCCUUCUAGACAUGGAUGCCACUGGGGGCAGCUACAUGCUGGGAAGACCAAGUCAUCUUUAUGACAGAAAUGAUACCCUCGGGAUUGGUGCUUACUGGGCCUUCAACCUGUUAGAUGAGCUAGAACCGGGAAAUUAUGGACGACAUCCGAUGCAGGGCCAAUCCAUUCACAAAAGUUAG
rnacentral:rRNA from 1 species